UUUCAUUUUGGGUUAUAAUACGUAAAAGCCUUCGAAACUUAAAGAAAAUAAGGUGAAUAUACCUUGAGAUCCGCUAGAAAACCCCAGGAAAAAUAUGAAAAGGCUUGAACACUCACAAAAAAAGCAAAAAAAACAAAGAGGGGGUGAUGUUGGAUUCCACGAUGAAUCGUGAAAGCAGUAGAAACACAAAAAUAACAAAUAAAAUAUAAAUUAUAUACAUUUUCCAUAUCCGAUUCUUCACAUUGCUUGUUUAUAUGAGCCUUGCAUUUUCUGCCGCGUCUCCAUUGGUUUAAGAGUUUAAUGCUCACAUCCUUAAGCUUACUUUUGAUUGAAAGGUGGACAACAUGAUCUAACCAAG
rnacentral:lncRNA from 1 species